rnacentral:rRNA from 1 species
CCCAGACUCCUACGGGAGGCAGCAGUGAGGAAUAUUGGUCAAUGGGCGGGAGCCUGAACCAGCCAAGUCGCGUGAGGGAAGACGGUCCUACGGAUUGUAAACCUCUUUUGCCGGGGAGCAACGGGGUCCUUGCGAGGGCCCGAUGAGAGUACCUGAAGAAAAAGCAUCGGCUAACUCCGUGCCAGCAGCCGCGGUAAUACGGAGGAUACGAGCGUUAUCCGGAUUUAUUGGGUUUAAAGGGUGCGUAGGCGGAAUGCCAAGUCAGCGGUAAAAUCGCGGGGCUCAACCUCGCUCCGCCGUUGAAACUGGCGUUCUUGAGUGGGCGAGAAGUAUGCGGAAUGCGUGGUGUAGCGGUGAAAUGCAUAGAUAUCACGCAGAACUCCGAUUGCGAGGGCAGCUCACUGGGCUGCAACUGACACUGAGGCUCGAAAGUGUGGGUAUCAAACAGGAUUAGAUACCCCCGUAGC